ensembl:piRNA 21ur-2307 ncRNA
UACGUUUUUUUCGGGUUAGUU